GGGGAGAUAUCGGGUUUCUGGAAGUGAAACUGGGAAAGGGGAUAACAUUUGAAAUGUACGUAAAAAAUAUCCAAUAAAAGGAAUACAUUUUUAAAAAUAUAUUCUUUACUAACCAAGAAGGAUGAGCUUUAAGAGGGUUCACUUUCUUCAUCUGUCACCUCCCUGAUUAUCCUAGAUCCACUCCAGGAUGCUUUCCAGGGCUCCUAACGCAUCUUUAGCAGGUUCCUGUCAUAGAAUCAGUCCAUGCUAUACAGACUUGCCUCGGAGGUUCUCCUUUAUGGAUUUGAAACACUGUCCAUUCCAUGUGCCAUUUUAAGUCAUUAGGCCACUCUGAGGCCAUCACUGGUCUGAAGGGCACUGAAACCAUAUCAGUGGCUUCUAUUACUUUCUCUGAGCUUAAAAUUGAUAUAGAUAGUGCACACUCGGGGCUUUGUGUCGUGCCAGAGACAAUGGAGACUGCUUUUAAUUUUGAUCCCUCUUUUCUCUGUUCAGUCCAUGACGGUGUUAGAACCUUCAGUGUCCCUGCCUUCCUGUAUCUUGGGUGUCCACAUUACCUGAUUGUUGAUGAACCUACAUGAUGAAGGUUGCUCAUGUUCUGGGUUUCCUGUUCCUGUCUUAGGUCAGUUUCCCUUUUCUCCACGUUCAUCUUCCUUUCCAUUUCCACGGUUCUGCUUAAGUGUUAGCCCCUUGAACUUGAGCACAGGAGUCCCAGGUUUUAUGGGAGGGAGAAUACUGAAGCAGGAUUCUGAGGAUGGGGUAAGUUGGAUGCUGUACAGAGUAGACUGGAUGCUGCAUCUGCUAAUCUAAUCAUAGACAUGCUUGGAGGACAAAGGGGCUUUAUGUCAGUUUGUGAGGGAGGGGAGAGAGAGAGAGAGCAAGGAGAGAGAGAGAGAGAGAGAGAGAGAGAGAGAGAGAGAGAGAGGCGUUUAAGCUAUUAAACUAUUAGGAUUUUGGGACUGACUAAUCUUUCUGGUUUCUUCUGUGAACUGUAACUAAUUGACAGUUAACCAUUCUAGACUCUGCUUCUAGAACUCUGAGUCCUAUUCGCAAGACAAGUAGCUAUGAAGAGCAAGACAAAGUGUCCCCCAUCAGCAAAUUAAAAUGUCAGAGUCACGGUUUAAACAGCAAGACACGUGUGGGGCAUGCCCACGAAGUCGACAAAUUCAAACAACUUUAGUCUUCUUCCUCAGCUCCUUCCUCCUCAUGGUGGUGCACUGAAGUCUUGCUGUAAUUGCACGAAGAGUGCCACUGUGUGGGGGAGCAUUCUGGAAGAGGCUGGGAGAAGGCAGGGGAGCCAGGCAGGCAGAGUGGUUCCUGCCCUCAGGGAGCUUUGACGCUGUAGCCAGAAGCUUUGAUUGUGUUCUAAGAAUUCUCUUUGCAGGCUCCUGGCUGCAUUAGGAGGAACUCGAAAGCUGAUUUAAAAUAAUUUCCUACCAAGGGAACAGAGUGGGAAUCCGGAUGGAUGGAGAAUUGUUAAUUUGACAUUUAAGAUUGAGGGACAAGUGGGUAUUUGUCUCAUCCCCUCGGGUUUUUUUUCUCCGUGGGAGAGAAGCAGCCAGCCUCACUGAUUGUCAAGUGUUAAUGGGAACCCUUCCAUUUUUCCCUAUUGAAAACAUGUAAUUUAAUGUGAAGCUUCUAUUGGUGGGCCGUGAGCAGGCAGAAUUCUCAGGAUAAUGAACUUGAUUUUCCACUUGAAAUGCAAUCCGCAUUCACGAAUUAUCUUUUUAUAAGGGAGACAUGGAGCAAAGUGGCUCACCCAUACAUCUCAGUUGACCUCACAAACACCUCUGAAGAGAGCGUCAUUACCUAUCUUUUAUAGACAACAAGGGGAAAUGGUAGCCUGGGGCUCUGGACUGUGCCAGUUCACUUCUGGUAGAUGAACAACUUGUUAUUUCGUUUCCCUUGGUCGAAUUGUUAUAAACAUUGCAACAUUAACACCUGCAUGACAUUUGCACGACUCAGCGCUUCGCAGCCUGGUCACGUGUCUUCUGUGGCUACUCUGCUAACCCUGUGUGCUUCAUCUGUAACAAUGGGUAAGCCCAGAUCUCUGCAGCCCAGCUUGCUUUUGUCCUAGACUAAAUCGAUAGCAAUCCAGCCUCCAGAAGUCUAAUCUAUUUCUUUAUUUGCAGAGUCUCUCUGGGGUGACACCCUUGGCCAGAGAAGACAACACUGGCACUCUCCUGUCAGAGUCCGAAAGCUCAAGAUGUAGAUGCUGUUACCACCUUGCCUGGGGCUUCCUGCUACUUGGCUGUCUUGAGUCAACAAUAGCCAAGGGGACAGAAGAAAGAGAGAAAAGUUAUAUCUAUAUGUUUGAACACAGGUUUGAUCCCUAAUGGAAUGGACGCUGGAGAUGAGGCAAACACAGCCCAGAGAGAACCACCAUUGUGACGCAUUAGAGAAGCACCCAUGACGAUCAAUCACUGCUGAUGGCCUGGACCGCCAGCAUCAAUACUCUAGCACUCUGGAGACUUGGAAAGUAAAACAAAGGUUGCUUGAACGCAAACACUCUGCCACAGCGUUUUAUCUGAUAGUGGGGGUGCGCGCUCCACUCAGUGACUGACAGGCAAGUAACAUAUACAGUGUGCACACGUUGGAUGGAGGGACAUAUCCCACAACCGGAUGGAGCCAGUGAAUGAUACGAGGACAUGAUUGCCCUAAGGUAUGGCUGAGGAGAAGGUUUUAAUGUAGACGUGAGGCAGAGUACGGCCAGAGGCAUCUGGGAGAGUUCAGAUCAAACCAGGCCAUAAGAGGAAAAAACAAGGGGUGGAGGUGAGAGGGAAAAAGAAGAGUGGGGACAAUCAGACUAAGAGAACCAAGAGCAAGUCAAGAGAGACAGAACAACCAAGAGGGGCUGAAAUGCCAGGGUUCUAUAGGAGAGAGAAGCUGGCAGGGAAGGGAGUCAAGCCCCAGGACUAUAGAGGUUUAGGGUAGCGGUAUAGUGAGAAGAGCUGAGAAGAGCCAAGACUCUGUAACUGGGACUUACAAUACUGAGAGAACCCAGAGGUCAGCAUGUGCUUUGGUUUGCUGCCAUUUGUCCCUGAGUUUCUCUGGGACCUGACAGCCAGGUAGGCUGAGGUUUUAUUACACUACUCACCAUGAUGAACAAUUUAGAACUCAUCAAUUAUUCAUGUCUGGGAUUUUUCCAUUUAACAUUUUGUGCAGCAAGUUGUGUAGGUAAGUAAAUCAUGGACAACAGAACUCCGGAGGCUGCAGCGGGAGAACUCCUGAGUGCCUAUUAAAUGACUUGGUUCUGGUUCCAAUGGCGGAGGUUCUGAAGUGGGCACUGCCAGCACCUACUGAAUUCUUACCAGCUCCGAGCGACUCUAACGUGGGUGUUCUCAGAACCACAUUUUGAGAAACAGUCCUCCGUAUUGACAUAAUUGGCAGCAUCCUUCCUUUAAACACUUCCCUUUGGUUGCUAUGAUACACCCCUCCUCCCCAAGUUCUGUGGGCUCUCUAAUUCUGUUCUCCAUCUCCCACUUCCUCUCCAGCCUGUACCACUGUCCCCAGACUCUCUGCUCCUUCCUCCGCUGUCUGUCCCCUGGGGCAUGGCUCCAACUUGGGCAGAUGGUCCAACCUUGCCCUGGUGAGUGCCAGCCUCCUGGUGAGAUCCGUGGAUUUUGGAACAGAGUUGUACUUCAUUCAGCCUGGGUCCAGGACUUAGCUGUGAAGAAGGUGAUAUUGACGCUGCUGCUCCAAUCACCCCCACCCUGCUCUGGGCCUUUCCUCUUCCAUUAAGAUCUCCUGCUUUGCAGUUUUCUAAUCAAAUUAGUUCCGAGGGAAGAGCUGAUCUGUUUACACGGUCACACUAAUGUGCCAACUCUCCCAGUCACUGGCAUUUGCAAAGCCUUUUUCCGUCUUUGUGGUUUCAACCCUGUUAUUUCAGGCUUCCCUUAGCAGAUAGGGUGAUUCAGAAGGGCACGACCAAGGGAUAGGGCGAGCUGAUUUGAGAAGGGCUGGCUCUUCUCUUCUUCGACAUUUCUAGGAGCGUAGACUGAAAACUAGCCUGUCAAACGGCUGGGAGGGCAGGACUUGGACCUUCUAGGUCUUGGGCAAGGAUAAGCAAUAACUGCAGUCACAAUAGGCCAGACCCUAGAAGCACGGAGGAUAAGGACAGACUACAGAGCUGCAAUUGGGCUUACUUCCUGCCACGCCUACCCAUGGCCACGCCUACCCAUAGCCACUCCUACCCAUAUACUUCUAAGAGCUCCUCUUCACUGGUCAGGUCUCAUCUUAAAAGUUCUCUCUUGGGAAUAAAUAGCCUGACCUGGCCGCCAGGUUGUGGUCCCUUUUUGUGAUCCUGUGUUAGCAACCGCUUGCCUUUGUUGUAUUUAUCACAGGUUGUAAUUAUUUGAUUUCCUUCUUCCUGUCUCCUUCUGGAGUUAAGUAAGGCUCCAGGCGGGUGAGACCAGGCUGCCUCACACCCCUUCUAUGCAGGUUCAAAACAGAGAUCAACAGGAAGCCGGAAGGACAGCAUGAACAAGCCCUACCACCCUGCAGUCCCCGAGCUGAAGCAAACUGUCCUCAAUAGGCAUGUGGUGCAGAAAGGCAGAAAACUGACAGUAAUAUAAAUGAUUCUUGUAUGUAAAACUGCCAAUAGAUGUUUGCCCAGUAGAGGGGGCAAUUGGCGCUUUUCCUGCGACUAUCAAGAUCUGAAUGCGCCAUAGUUUUCCUGAGGUCCCGUGUGCUCUUAGAAUUCUCCUUUGAGCCAGUCAGAACAUCUUACUGACUGCCUCAUUAGUUGGUAAAAUAACAUCUCUGACAAUCUCUGACAUAUUAGUUUCAUAUUUGUACCUGAGUCAAAUGUUUAGCUUCUUAAAAAUAUUUUUUUCAUUCGAACUUCAUGGAAACCAAGUAUUUUGUGCAUCAAAAGAUACUAUCAGGAAAA